UACGUAGGGUGCAAGCGUUGUCCGGAAUUAUUGGGCGUAAAGAGCUUGUAGGCGGUUUGUCGCGUCUGCUGUGAAAUUUCGGGGCUCAACCCCGAACUUGCAGUGGGUACGGGCAGACUAGAGUGUGGUAGGGGAGACUGGAAUUCUUGGUGUAGCGGUGAAAUGCGCAGAUAUCAGGAGGAACACCGAUGGCGAAGGCAGGUCUCUGGGCCACUACUGACGCUGAGAAGCGAAAGCAUGGGGAGCGAACAGG
rnacentral:rRNA from 1 species